UCGGUGGCUCCUAGCAGCUGUUCGGCUCGGCUCACCUGUUUUCAACCCGGUUUCCACUGUUUCGACCCUCUUGGAUCUGUUUUCGGCCCCGAUUAAGGAAACAAACCCCAGCAACAUAGGAAGCAACUCUCACGGAACAGGAGCUUACGUUUAGCUAUUUAGGGAGUACUUCGGCCAAGGCCAACAAAGUAAAGGCAAGGCACCCAUGUACG